GAAUAUUGGGCAAUGGACGGAAGUCUGACCCAGCCAUGCCGCGUGCAGGAAGACGGCCCUAUGGGUUGUAAACUGCUUUUCUGAGGGAAGAAACAUAUGUAUUUAUAGGUAUCUGACGGUACCUCAGGAAUAAGCACCGGCUAACUCCGUGCCAGCAGCCGCGGUAAUACGGAGGGUGCAAGCGUUAUCCGGAAUUACUGGGUUUAAAGGGUGCGUAGGCGGGUAGAUAAGUCAGUGGUGAAAGGUUGCCGCUUAACGGUAGAAUGGCCAUUGAUACUGUUUAACUUGAAUCAGGAUGAGGUUAGCGGAAUGAGACAUGUAGCGGUGAAAUGCAUAGAUAUGUCUUAGAACACCAAUUGCGAAGGCAGCUAGCUAGACCUAGAUUGACGCUGAGGCACGAAAGCGUGGGGAGCGAACAGG
rnacentral:rRNA from 1 species